UACAGAGGUCUCAAGCGUUGUUCGGAUUCAUUGGGCGUAAAGGGCGCGUAGGCGGCGUGACAAGUCACUUGUGAAAUCUCCGGGCUUAACUCGGAACGGUCAAGUGAUACUGUCGUGCUAGAGUGCGGAAGGGGCAACUGGAAUUCUUGGUGUAGCGGUGAAAUGCGUAGAUAUCAAGAGGAACACCUGCGGCGAAGGCGGGUUGCUGGGCCGACACUGACGCUGAUGCGCGAAAGCUAGGGGAGCGAACGGG
rnacentral:rRNA from 1 species